rnacentral:rRNA from 1 species
ACUCCUACGGGAGGCAGCAGUGGGGAAUAUUGCACAAUGGGCGGAAGCCUGAUGCAGCGACGCCGCGUGAGGGAUGACGGCCUUCGGGUUGUAAACCUCUUUCAGCAGGGACGAAGCAAUCGUGACGGUACCUGCAGAAGAAGCGCCGGCCAACUACGUGCCAGCAGCCGCGGUAAGACGUAGGGCGCGAGCGUUGUCCGGAUUUAUUGGGCGUAAAGAGCUCGUAGGCGGCUUGUCGCGUCGUCCGUGAAAACUUGGGGCUCAACUCCAAGCUUGCGGGCGAUACGGGCAGGCUCGAGUUCGGUAGGGGAGACUGGAAUUCCUGGUGUAGCGGUGAAAUGCGCAGAUAUCAGGAGGAACACCGGUGGCGAAGGCGGGUCUCUGGGCCGAUACUGACGCUGAGGAGCGAAAGCGUGGGGAGCGAACAGGAUUAGAUACCCUGGUAGUCCACGCUGUAAACGUUGGGCGCUAGGUGUGGGGGGCCUCUCCGGUUCUCUGUGCCGCAGCUAACGCAUUAAGCGCCCCGCCUGGGGAGUACGGCCGCAAGGCUAAAACUCAAAGGAAUUGACGGGGGCCCACACAAGCGGCGGAGCAUGCGGAUUAAUUCGAUGCAACGCGAAGAACCUUACCUGGGUUUGACAUCGCCGGAAAUCUCGCAGAGAUGCGGGGUCCUUCGGGGCCGGUGACAGGUGGUGCAUGGCUGUCGUCAGCUCGUGUCGUGAGAUGUUGGGUUAAGUCCCGCAACGAGCGCAACCCUCGUUCGAUGUUGCCAGCGCGUUAUGGCGGGGACUCAUCGAAGACUGCCGGGGUCAACUCGGA